rnacentral:rRNA from 1 species
AUUGAACGCUGGCGGCAGGCUUAACACAUGCAAGUCGAGCGGGGUGAAGUGCUUCGGUACUGAUCCUAGCGGCGGACGGGUGAGUAAUGCUUAGGAAUCUGCCAUUUAGUGGGGGACAACAUUCCGAAAGGAAUGCUAAUACCGCAUACGUCCUACGGGAGAAAGCAGGGGAUCUUCGGACCUUGCGCUAAAUGAUGAGCCUAAGUCGGAUUAGCUAGUUGGUGGGGUAAAGGCCUACCAAGGCGACGAUCUGUAGCGGGUCUGAGAGGAUGAUCCGCCACACUGGGACUGAGACACGGCCCAGACUCCUACGGGAGGCAGCAGUGGGGAAUAUUGGACAAUGGGCGGAAGCCUGAUCCAGCCAUGCCGCGUGUGUGAAGAAGGCCUUUUGGUUGUAAAGCACUUUAAGCGAGGAGGAGGCUACCUGGAUUAAUACUCUGGGAUAGUGGACGUUACUCGCAGAAUAAGCACCGGCUAACUCUGUGCCAGCCGCCGCAGUAAGAC